rnacentral:tRNA from 1 species
GUUUUAAUAAUUUAUAAAAAAUACUGGUCUUGUAAACCAGAAAAAAGAAUACUUCUUUUAAAACU